AACCGGUCGCAGAGAAGGUCUUGCCGCACGAUGACACUGUAAGCGUGCGGUCCCACAUGCCUGGUAGUGCCGCAAGUCUGACGUGCUCCUUACCAUCAUACACCAGCUUCUCGUAAACCUCAUCGGUAACAGCAAUCACAUGAGGGUGGCGUUGUAGAAUUUCCGAGAUCGAUGUGAGUUCGUCUUUAGUGAAGACCUUGCCUGUGGGGUUGUGUGGCGUGUUGAUGAGCAUAAUCUUGGUGCGUGAUGUGAUGGCGGCCUCGAGUUUGUUCAAAUCCAACUCCCACUUGGACGACUCUCGAUUCAGCUCCAGAGGAACAAACUUGCAAACACCUCCAGCCAUUUGUACAGACG
rnacentral:misc_RNA from 1 species